CACGUAGGCGGUUUGUUAAGUCGGAUGUGAAAGCCCCGGGCUCAACCUGGGAAUUGCACCCGAUACUGGCCGACUAGAGUACGAGAGAGGGAGGUAGAAUUCCACGUGUAGCGGUGAAAUGCGUAGAUAUGUGGAGGAAUACCGGUGGCGAAGGCGGCCUCCUGGCUCGAUACUGACGCUGAGGUGCGAAAGCGUGGGGAGCAAACA
rnacentral:rRNA from 1 species